rnacentral:misc_RNA from 1 species
AGACGACGCUGCCAAAUUCUCAGAAAUUCAUCAAUGGCUCCGAAGACAGCAAGAGUUAGCCGAAACCCCGAUCUCAUUCGAGGGGUUGGCAAAUACUCGAGGUCCAAGAUGUACCAUAAGCGAGGUCUCUGGGCAAUCAAGGCAAAAAAUGGAGGUGUCUUUCCUCGCCACGAUGCCAAGCCUAAGGCCGAUGCUCCAGCAGAGAAGCCGCCCAAAUUUUACCCUGCCGACGAUGUCAAGAAACCACUUGUUAACAAGCGCAAAGCCAAGCCCACCAAACUUAGGUCUAGUAUUACUCCUGGAACCGUUCUUAUCAUUCUUACUGGAAGGUUUAAGGGAAAGAGGGUCGUGUUCUUGAAGCAACUUCCAUCUGGGUUGCUUUUGGUGACUGGACCAUUCAAGGUCAAUGGUGUUCCUUUGAGGCGUGUGAAUCAGUCAUACGUGAUUGCAACCUCCACCAAGGUCGACAUUGCAGGAGUCAAUGUGGAGAAGUUUGAUGACAAAUAUUUCUCCAAGGAAGUUCAGAAGAAGAAAAAGAAGGGAGAAGGAGAAUUUUUCGAGGCAGAGAAGGAGGAAAAAACUGCAGUCCCACAAGACAAAAAGGAUGAUCAGAAGGCCGUGGACUCAGCCCUCCUAAAGUCCAUCGAGGCAGUUGCAGACUUAAAGACCUACUUAGCUGCAAGGUUUUCUCUAAAGGCAGGCAUGAAACCGCAUGAGCUUGUUUUCUAGAUAUUUUCUCUUUGGUGCUGAUACUUGUGGAAUUAUUUGAUCCCUACAAUCUUCUUGUUCAUGUUUUGUUAUGAGGA